rnacentral:rRNA from 1 species
UACGUAGGAGGCGAGCGUUGUCCGGAGUUACUGGGCGUAAAGGGUGCGCAGGCGGCGGUUCGCGUGGCGAGAUGAAAUCUCCUGGCUUACCUGGGAGGAUGGUCGCCAGACGGGAUCGCUUGAGGGUCGGAGAGGGGCGUGGAAUUCCGGGUGGAGCGGUGAAAUGCGUAGAGAUCCGGAGGAACACCGACGGCGUAGGCAGCGCCCUGGACGACACCUGACGCUGAGGAGCGAAAGCGUGGGGAGCGAACAGG